GGGGGGCAACCUCCUUGAGAGUGGCGAACGGGUGAGUAAUGCAUCGGAACGUGCCCAGUCGUGGGGGAUAGCCCGGGGAAACCCGGAUUAAUACCGCAUACGACCUGAGGGUGAAAGCGGGGGACCGAAAGGCCUCGCGCGAUUGGAGCGGCCGAUGUCGGAUUAGGUAGUUGGUGGGGUAAAGGCCUACCAAGCCUGCGAUCCGUAGCUGGUCUGAGAGGACGACCAGCCACACUGGGACUGAGACACGGCCCAGACUCCUACGGGAGGCAGCAGUGGGGAAUUUUGGACAAUGGGGGCAACCCUGAUCCAGCCAUGCCGCGUGCGGGAAGAAGGCCUUCGGGUUGUAAACCGCUUUUGUCAGGGAAGAAAUGUCCUGGGUUAAUAACCUGGGGGGAUGACGGUACCUGAAGAAUAAGCACCGGCUAACUACGUGCCAGCAGCCGCGGUAAUACGUAGGGUGCGAGCGUUAAUCGGAAUUACUGGGCGUAAAGCGUGCGCAGGCGGUCAUACAAGACAGAUGUGAAAUCCCCGGGCUCAACCUGGGAACUGCAUUUGUGACUGUAUGGCUGGAGUACGGUAGAGGGGAGUGGAAUUCCGCGUGUAGCAGUGAAAUGCGUAGAUAUGCGGAGGAACACCGAUGGCGAAGGCAGCUCCCUGGACCUGUACUGACGCUCAUGCACGAAAGCGUGGGGAGCAAACAGGAU
rnacentral:rRNA from 1 species